rnacentral:rRNA from 1 species
AUGACAGUAGUCUUGGGAGGUGACUUCAGACAAAUCCUACCAGUUAUACCAAAGGGGAAAAGGGAACAUAUCAUUUCGGCAUCUAUAAAGAGAUCCUACCUAUGGAAGAACUUUGAGGAGUACCGACUCACAGAAAAUAUGCGUCUGAAUUCAUCCGAAGGUAGUCCAGAAGAGAAAGCAAAGACAGCUGAAUUUGCAAACUGGAUACUAAACAUCGGCGAUGGCACAACAGCAACAAUAGAUGAUGAAGACUGGGUUAGCAUCCCAGAAGACCUUAUUUUAAAUAAAGGAGAUGACCCAAAAGCAUCUAUAGUUAAUAACACAUACCCUGAAUUACACAACAAGUACACUGAUAGAACAUACCUAGAGGAAAGAGCGAUCCUGUGCCCAAGGAACGAGACUGUUGACCAGAUUAAUACCUACAUCAUGAGUCAAAUUCCUGGAAAAGAGGUAACCUAUCUCAGUUCAGAUACAACAUGCAAGGCAAUGUCUACGGUGGAAGACGAAGAUAUGUUGUACCCAACUGAAUUUCUAAAUAGUCUAACAUUUUCUGGAAUACCAGAUCAUGAACUGAGGCUGAAAAUAGGAUUACCAGUAAUGCUUAUGAGGAACAUCAAUCAAAGUGCAGGACUUUGCAAUGGGACAAGACUAACAAUAACGCAGCUAGGAAAGCGUUUCAUCGAAGGCCAGGUCAUAACAGGUACUAACAUUGGUGACAAAGUUUACAUCCCACGAAUUAUUAUGUCACCAAGUGAUUCAAAAUGGCCUUUCAUUCUGAAAAGGAGACAAUACCCAAUAUCAGUGUGCUUUGCUAUGACAAUAAACAAAAGUCAGGGGCAAUCUCUCAAAAAGACAUAG